GUGACUCUGGAGAAUCCCACAAAAGGUGGGUGCCGAAGGUGCAAAGUAUGUGUGGCCAUGCCGUUUUAUGCAGCGGAAGGAGCAGUUACAUACCAAUCUCUCAGGCAAAAGGACAGAGAUAGGA
rnacentral:ncRNA from 1 species